CGCUGAGGUCAUGGGCAAUGGAGGAUAUAAAAUGCAGCGACUGAAGGAACAGAAUCAUUGAAGACAUCAACGUCGUCAACAAACACAAAAGCUCAACCAUGAAGUUCGUCUACCUCGGCCUCGCUCUGCUUCUGGUCGCUACCUUGUCUUGUAAAGCCGACCAUUGUCCUGACGGCUACUCACAAACUGUCCCCGCCCACUGUCACGUGGACGAGAUUGACAGGCGGGAGUGCGCCGCUGACAACGACUGUGAUGGUAGUGGUGGCAAAUGCUGUUACCCUAACACGGGCUGCGACGCACGGUGCGUUGCUAACUAACCUGGCGCCACUAACCUCUGACCCUGCAAGAAACGGUUGGUCAGUGAAGGCUGACAGAACACAGCAAACUAUGACAUGUGGACAAAACAACACAAUGUGCCUGUCACAGAAUAGUACACAGGACUUGCAGAAGGCCACCUUUCAAUAAAUAUUUUUUCAAGAAAAAAA